rnacentral:rRNA from 1 species
UAGAGUUUGAUCCUGGCUCAGAACGAACGCUGGCGGCAGGCCUAAAACAUGCAAGUCGAGCGCCCGGCAAUGGGAGCGGCGGACGGGUGAGUAACACGUGGGAAUGUACCUUUCGGUACGGAACAACUCAGGGAAACUUGAGCUAAUGCCGUAUGCGCCCUAACGGGGAAAGAUUUAUCGCCGAAAGAUCAGCCCGCGUAAGAUUAGCUAGUUGGUGAGGUAACGGCCCACCAAGGCGACGAUCUUUAGCUGGUUUGAGAGAACGACCAGCCACACUGGGACUGAGACACGGCCCAGACUCCUACGGGAGGCAGCAGUUGGGAAUCUUGGACAAUGGAGGAAACUCUGAUCCAGCCAUGCCGCGUGAGUGAUGAAGGCCUUCGGGUUGUAAAACUCUUUCGACGGGGACGAUAAUGACGGUACCCGUAGAAGAAGCUCCGGCUAACUUCGUGCCAGCAGCCGCGGUAAUACGAAGGGGGCUAGCGUUGUUCGGAAUUACUGGGCGUAAAGCGUGCGCAGGCGGCCAUCCAAGUCAGUGGUGAAAGCCCGGAGCUCAACUCCGGAAUUGCCAUUGAAACUGUUUGGCUCGAGUACGAGAGAGGUGAGUGGAAUUCCCAGUGUAGAGGUGAAAUUCGUAGAUAUUGAGAAGAACACCGGUGGCGAAGGCGGCUCACUGGCUCGUAACUGACGCUCAUGCACGACAGCGUGCGGAUCAGACAGGAUUAGAUACCCUGGCAGUCCACGCCGUAAACGAUGAACGCUAGCCGUUAGCAGCUUGCUGCUUAGCGCGCAGCCACGCAUGAAGCGUUCCAGCCUGGGGAGUACGACGCAGAUGAACUCACAGUAAUCGACUGGGGUCUGCACAAGCAGUGAGCAUGUGGCUUUAUUCGGACUCACGUCGCAGAACCUUACCAUGAUUGACA